AGUAUGUAGAGAAAUGCACCCAAAAGGUUAAUGAAUGAGUGUAAAACUCAUAAAGCUUGCUGUCCCUAAUCUAACACAACUGACCAACAAUUGGCCUUGUAAAAUUGUUCUAAUGCAGGUUGAAUUACCUGGCUAAUGCUAUCAAAUAAGACUGCAUCUUAUGAAGAUCUUUUCCUCUAUCCGUAAAGUUGUCGAAUGUUGUCUUAUCUACGAACCUCGAGUUAGGUACUCGGAAGCUGUUAUGAGUUCCCUUUACAAGUGAAUGAAGGGGCCUUAUGUUUAAGAAGAAGAUUGAUACCAGCCUUGUGGGUUCCAUGAAAGAUGGGACAAAAUAGUUAGUGGAUAGUACAGACAUCAAGCUUCUUGCAUCAUUUUGUGCAAGAGUAAUAUGCCAAGUAAUGGCAUAGGGAAU